rnacentral:tmRNA from 1 species
GGGGGUGUUUUGGUUUUGACAGCGCCGGUGUCGGACGGUAAGCACGCCGGGCGUCGGAAGCUAGCCCGUUAAUCUCAGAUUCCGAAAAAUCAGUUGCCAACAACAACUAUGCACUCGCUGCUUAAUUAGCCCAAGGCAAUUAGCUUAAUCCGCGACGCCAAGGCUGCGCCGCCGACGAGUAUCCCUCGGCCCUUCCGCCUCUUAAGGGCCCCCAAAGGGGUAUCAUCCAUUUGAGGCUGCUCCGGUCCACGCCUUUACAGCCGGCUAAGACAUAAAGGCUAAGCGGCAGUUCGCCCGCCUUCCGGCAGGCUGCCGUCUAAAACCAAAGGACGGAUAAGCGUGUAGAAAGCCGCCGGGCGCGACGUUUGGACAGCGGUUCGAGUCCGCUCACCUCCACAA